UUGGUCGGGUUUUUGGACUGACACCUCUAAAAAUUGUCACAUCAGAUAUUGUCUAGUAUGUUUCGUUACAUAUCACCAUCAAUCUUACGAUUUUAAAACGUGUCAACUUGGGAGAGGUUUUCACACCCUUAUAAAGAAUGCUUCGUUCUCUCUCC